UUUCUUCAGGUGAAAAUUAUGCUAAAAUUUCAUGUAACAUGGAACAAACAGAAGAUCAGUGGCAAAGAAAUAUGGCAGAAGCUGCAGAGCAGGAAAUAUGUGACAAUAUAAGUACAGGGGAAUUCACGAACUGCAAUAAUCAUGAUCAGACUGCAAAAUCAAAGAAGCCACAUGGGAAAUUUAUGUUCUGAAUGUGGGAAAUGUUUUCUUAAGAAAUCACAUCUUCUUAAACAUCUAAAAAUUCAUACAGGAAAAACGUUUUCCUGUCCUAUAUGUGGGAAUUGUUUUAACUGUAAAAAGAGUAUUGUUGCUCAUCAGAAAAUUCAUACAGGAGAAAAAGAAUUUUCAUGUUCUGAUUGUGGGAAAUGCUUUACUCAGAAAUCAAAUCUUAUUCGUCAUCAGAAAAUUCAUAUAGGGAAGAAAGGAUUUUCAUGUUCUGACUGUGAAAAAUGUUUUACUCUGAAACUAACUCUUAUUAGGCAUCAGAAAAUUCAUAAAGGGGAGAACAGAUUUUCAUGUUCUGACUGUGAGAAAUGUUUUACUCAGAAAUCAAAUCUUAUUACACAUCAGAAAAUUCAUACAGGGGAGAAAGGAUUUUCAUGUUCUGACUGUGGGAAAUGUUUUACUCUUAAAUCAAAUCUCAUUACGCAUCAGAAAAUUCAUACAGGGGAGAAAGGAUUUUCAUGUUCUGACUGUGGGAAAUGUUUUAAUCAGAAAUCAAAUCUUAUUAUGCAUCAGAAAAUUCAUACAGGGGAUAAAGCAUUUUCAUGUUCUGACUGUGGAAAAUGUUUUACUCGGAAAUCAAAUCUAAUUAUGCAUCAGAAAAUUCAUUCAGGAGAAAGGGCAUUUUCAUGUUCUGACUGUGGAAAAUGUUUUACUCGGAAAUCAACUCUUCUUAUGCAUCAGAAAAUUCAUACAGGAGAAAAAUCAUUUUCAUGUUCUGACUGUGGAAAAUGUUUUACUCGGAAAUCAAAUCUUAUUAUGCAUCAGAAAAUUCAUACAGCAGAAAAAGGCAAUUUCAUGUUCUGACUGUGGAAAAUGUUUUAGCCUGAAAACAAAUCUUUAUUACAUAUCAAAAAAUUCAUACAAAACAUUACAGCAAUGAAUAAACGGCAUCUUGCUAUAUAAUUAAAAACUAAUAUAUAUUUCAUUAUGAAUAACCUUUGGAUUAUAAUGUAUAUUGAAUAGCAACUAUCUUUAGAUGGAUUUUUCCUCAGAAAGCAUUUAAAAAAAUAAAUCCUAUUUAAAUUUUUAUCCACCCUGUGUGACCCAGUGUAUUUGCCAUCCGGGGGGAAUCCAGGGUCCCUUUGUAUGUUUGAAUAGCCAAGUGAUCACCUUGAGCCUCCAUAAUAUUUUUAAUUUUCUUCCUAAAUGGAAAGAGUCCACAGCUGCAUUGAUUACUUUUGGGAAAUAAGAACCUGGCCACCAGGAGGAGGCAAAGACACCCCAGCCAAAGGCUUAAAUACUCCUCCCACUUCCCUCAUCCCCCCAGGCAUUCUUUGCCUUUCGUCCCAAGAGGUUGGCAGCGAAGUGUCAUAAGUUGUCUCUUAUGGAGGGUAGUACUCUUCGACAUGGGACAGGAGUAUUUAAGUAAUGCCCUGAGGAAACCCCAUGACGCUGUGGUCACGUGGUGGGUGAAACGCGUGUUGGCAAGUGACGUAAUUGGAGCGGAUGGCUCGGCCUUGAGACAAACAAGUUUGAUACUUUGUUGCACCUGAAGGAAACAAAAGUUGGCGGUUUCAAUUAAGAUACACCAGUUCUACCUCUCGGAAGCCUGGAGCUUUGUGCUAAUUCAUGUUGUGUGCUAUUGGAACGGAGGGAUGGAAUACUUUUACCCCUCUGCACACAUAACUAUAUGGCUCAUUUGUUAGAAGCAUUUCAUUCUGUCUCAUAUGGACGGUAUCUAUGAAAGGUAUUUUGGCAAAUUGGAAAAGCCUAGGAACUGUUAUUUCAUCUGUUUUGUGUUCCUGGAAAUAAGAUACGACUCACAGUAGCUCCCAAGACAGGAGAACUUUAAUAUACUGUUCAAUCUGCUUGUUAUUGAAUAAUGUUUGUAUCCUCUUCAUUCAUAGUUGCAACAUAAUAUUGGUAUACUUUGGACCUUGGAGUGGGGGACCUAACAUAGAUCCUAAUUAUUAUUUUUCAUGACACCAGAUACUAUGAUAAAUAGUGGUGCCCUCUGAAAUGGUGUUGUUAGGUACCUUCCGGUCCAAACCUACCUCUUAGAGCAUGCUCUAUUUAUGUAUUUAUUUCGUUAUGACCUAAUGCAUUUUUUGGUUAAAUUAUCUGAAUUUGCAAAACUCUAUGACAUUUACUGUGCUCUAUUCACUAUAUAUAGAGGUGUGUCACACAAACAUAGAUCCUCAUGGUAUACUAAGUUGGCUGAUUUGUGCAAUUUAUUGCAUGCCAACCUCUGGUGGAGGUGUUGUUUGCGGUAUAGGUUAUUCUGUACUAUAAUAGGCAAAAGUCUCAGUACAUAAAUAGGCUUAGGUCUCAGACUUCAGUUUCAAGAUACCUAGCAUACGCAUCCAAUGUACUAUUUUGAAACAGCUCCUGUGCAUAGUUAUAGGCUAUUCAUUUAUCUAUUUGGUUGCUAACCUGUCACAUGUUUGUAGGAACAAUACUGCACUGUUGAAUUUUUUGGGCAUUAUGACCCAAAAAUAAAAAAUUGAAUGCUGAAAUCCCUGUCUUUUGUGUAGUUAUUUAUUUUUGACACUACACAUUCUCUCUUUGAUUAAUAGUGUUAUAAUAUUUAAAGGGUCUGCAUUCUAAUCCUAUACAUGAGGUUUAAACCAGGUUAAUCACUAUACCUGGUGUAUUUCUACGGCCUGACUCCCCUAUUCUUGUAUAUAUUAGUAUUUAAGUAAUCCUAUCAGUCUCUCAGUGAGAGCCUGGAUGAAAGUUAGAGUCCAGAGAUGCAGGGAGAGUCUUUCUGCGAAACCAUCACAACUCAUAUUAACAGCUCCACAAGCAAUCAGCGUUGUCGAAAUUCGCUUCGCUGCCUGCUUUUCUCCCUCUAGUCCAUGGCGGAGGCGCUGCUUCUAUUCGUCACACUUGAAGGGCUGUGUGCCUGUUCCAUGGUGUAGAUUCCGGUAAGAUUGUUUCAUUUUACUUCAUCAGAAUGUACUGUAACUUAUUAAUGUUUCCCGUAAGGAACUAUCUUGCAGGACUUACUAAGUAUGUUUAUAGGGCCUCAGUGUGGCUCCUUUGAUAUCUUGGAAUCGAGGGUUAAUAUCUCCUGAGGGGGAUUAUUGGACAGGGUUUUUUUUAAUCAUGUUUGUUAUGUGAUUCAAUCUGCUUAUAUGUAGUGUUAACUGGGCUCUUAGCUUAGAACAUAAAGGCCUUUGGAAGUGACGCAACCUUCUGGUUGGGUGCACUUUUUUUGGACUGUGCGGUUCACCUUGUGACUGGACGUGUUUGCGUUCUGGUCUUCCAUUUCCGCACUCCUGACCAUGUGGCGAUUGAAAAAUUAGAGUCUGCUUGUGUCUGGUUCUAGGAGGUGGUUAGUGCCUCAGCCAUUGUGGGUGUCAGGUACCGUUUAAGUUUUUUCUUAGUCCAUAAUAUUAUAUUCUCUUUCUAAGUAUGGAGUAUUCUGAUGCUGACUUGUGAAGAAUGCGAUUUGGCCCCGUUGAUACAGGUCAAUCAGUUAUGUUCAAUAUGCCGUGAUAGAGCACCCUGUUCCUCGGGCUCGGGGAAUCAGGGGUCUGAUGAGCCAUCCGCCUCUGGGUGUUCUGUCUUCCGAGAGGCGAGUUCCCUACCGCUCCCUACUACUACACAUGCGGGUAACCCAGAUUAUGUUUAUCCCUCCUUACAGGGCGGCUUGUUCCCCCCGGAGGUUGCAGCUCAUUUUCACUUUCACAUAUUUUUGGCGAUUAUGCAUCUGCAAAGUCCAGACGUUUAUUUGCGUUUGUGCUCGUGCCUGAUCAUCCCGAGUCUACCAACCUUGGGUGGGCCUAUACAGUACCCUGCGGGUGUAGCUGUUCCUGAUUGUUGUGCCUUUCGUUACAGAAUAGCGCUUCACGUUUUACUCAGACACAUUUUUGAGUUAUUGUAGGAUUCUAUCCUUAACAGAUACGGGAAUCCGCUGUAUUCUACUUCGAAUGGCUCACCUCAUUAGACAUGAGAGGAUGACGUAAUUUCCAAAUUGUCUGCUUAUUGAGAUCUUUCCCAGAUUUUUGUUGGAAGAUCAGGGUUCCGUUUGGCGGGUCCUGCGGUUAUGCCUGUUUUCUUCCUGGGGGUGUUAACCUACGGGUUGCCUUUAUAUUUUUUUAAAAUUUUGAUUGUGUUUCCUUCAGGAACUUCUGGGAUCAAUUCUCUCUGGUUGCUUCUUCGGAAGCUUGUUAAGGUACACAUUAGUCCUAGGUUUGUCUGUUUUACCUUCCCCUCUGAGGGAGGAUUUAGCCAACUUCACAGUUAUGACCCCAGCUGCGGCUGGUCUUGCUGGAAUUCAGAUCUUCUGUCCUGUGGCUUGUUCAGACACAUGGCGCCUGUUCUGCCUGGCUGGUCCGGUGGGGCGCUGAGUGCUCACAUUAUUUGUGUGUCUUGUUUUUAUUUACAAGUUCAGCUAAACACUCUAAAAGGAUCCUUAUUCAGCACUCAAUCUGGUGACUGGGUCAGUGGAGUUCUGCUGCAUCGCUCUCUUUGCUCCGAUUUUAUUGGGGCAUAGAGUUUCUUUCCUCUCUGGGGAUGAUUGGGGGCUUAUCACCUCCUUACUGCUGUUUGAGUGGUUCUGCCUUCUGAGGUUCUGGAAUUGUCCUUGGACUUUUCCUGCUGUGGUCCUCUUCUUGAGACCUUGCGGACUUCGUCCAUUCCUCGGGUUCCUUAGGGGAACCUGGUUCCCUUCGGGAGUUGGUUCCUUUGUAGGGACAUGUGCAGUGUGGUCUCCUUGAGCUCUGAUUAGGGUUCUACCCGGACCUGGGGGAUGCUCUGCAUCUUUCUUCUCCUCUGAUUUUUGGGGGUGAUGUGGAGGCUAACCUUUGUUCGAGAGACGUUGUCCUCGAGGUAUCCCCCUUGCUCUUGGUCAUAGGUGGCUGUUGCACCUAUGGCUCUAGUGACCUUGUUUCGACCUUUGCUUCCUUAGCUCCUUGGAGUGUUGGACUCUGGCAAGGGGGUCUCGUCUUCUGGUCGGGAUGUGCAAGUUUUUCUCGUUGUCCAUUUUACUUUGGACAUUGUAUGGUAUCUCCUGGGGGUCUGUUUUUUUAUCAGAUGGGGAAUUUCAGUUUCCGGGUUCUUGUUUAUUUUGGGGGCUCGGACCUCUCCUCGCUCUGGCUCUUCCGGUGGAUGAGUUUUUCACUCGGCAUUUCCUUUGUGGAUACUGUUGUGGGUUGUACCGGACUGUUAGGAUCUAGAGCUGGCCCGGGCUCCCCAGUUCCAGGAAACUUGGGCAGUGUCUUUUGGUUGAGUUAGUUGAUCUGGUUCAGUAGACCAGGUUUGUCUAGGUGCCGUUGACCCUUGGGCUUGCAUUUUGCCUAUGGUCAGUUUCCCUUGGUUGGCUUGCUGAAAUAGUGUGAUGACUUUGCUGCUCUGCAAGCAAAGGGGUUCGCUGUGGAACCACUGCAGCUAUGGUACUUUGUGUGCUAGCCAGUUAGAUCUUCAGGGGAUUCCUUCCAGGUUAGGGCAUUGGAGUUUUGUUCUCUCGGUUCAGCCUACGGCUGUGUCCUGGGGGCAGGUGCUCUAUCCUUCCGGCCCGCUUGCCAGCCCCCCUUUGUCUUGGGGGGCUUAUAUCCUUCUUUCGGAAGUGUGGUCCCUAUCUUAGGGCUUCUUCUGGCUUCAGGAGGUUAGGACAGACGGGUUAAUCCAUUUCGGAGAGAGGUACGCGCUCUGGGUUGUUCUGUCCAUUUCGAGAAUUGCUUGCUCCGCCUUGAGUCUAUGUUGGGACUUUAGCUAGACCUCUAGGUCUAAGGCCUUGUCGACGGUCUCCAUGUGGUAUUCCGGGUUGACACCCGAGCACUAUUGUAAUGGCUGUGCCAUUUUUUCCGCUCGUUGUUUGAGCCUGGGGGUUUUCUGGUCCCCUGGUUUCAGACCUGUCAAUGCUUGGGCUGGCCCGGCAGGAGGCAGAUCCUGAGAUCUGUUGUUCUCUCAGAUGUUGGGGGGCGCAUUGGUCCUCGUUGAGAUUCUGUGCUCUCCUUUUAUUUCGGGACCUAUGUGUAGGUCUGGCGGUUUCGGUUGCCUAAAGUGUGCCUUCUGUAAAGGAGGUUUAGAACUCUACAUUUUGGUAGCCGCUUCUAGCAAGCAAUUUCUUCUGUGUCAUUCUGAGGAUGGCUGCGUAUUCUUGACUCAGGUGUUUACCUCGUCCUGGUCUGCUACAUGUAAUUUUGCCAGAACUCCUCAAGGUUCUGAGUUCGGAUGAUGUUUGGUCUCUUUUUUCAGUUGUUCCUAGGCGCUGAUUGACUUGCUGCCUGGCAAGUGAAGGGUUGCUCUUUGACGAGUGUUAGCUAGCUGUUCCAAUCCUUGCAGGAUGUUGGGAGAACUUUUUCUCUGUUCUGCUUCCGGUUCUAAACCUUGUGGUUUCUAUUUGGAUUGGGCGUUGCCUCCCGUUGUUGUCAGGACCCUUUUAGGUCUUGCGAGCUUGGUUUGAUUGGGGUUUUUUCCUUUUAUGGAGUUUGUGGUACCUUUCGGUUCCCAUUUGGUUCUUACGUGCCUUAUUCCUUUGGGAGUUUCGGCGGGGGUUCCCUUCGCUAGUAAAGGGUGUGUGGUGGGGAACCAACUGUUGGGCGACUGUGUCUUCUGGAGGACUGUUGGCUCAGUUGUGUCUGAUGUUGCGGUCUCUACCUAGGGUUCCGGGCUAUCUGCUGGUCAGUGUCCUUGGGGCCUUUUCCCUUUCUGUUUUUCUCUGCUUCGGACGAAGCAGGGUUUUUUUGUUGGUUAGUGGUUUUCAGGCCUGGUGCCCUCAGAAUGGGCCGCCUAUUGUACCCUCCCAUUUUAGCAUUCAGUGUCCUCUAUAGCUUGGGUAUUGUUUUUCCAAAAGUAAUGAAUGCAGCUGUGGACUCUUUCCAUUUAGGAAGAAAAACAUAAAUUAUGCUUACCUGAUAAUUUUCUUUUCUUCCGAUGAAAAGAGUCCACAGCUCCCCACCCGUCUUUUUUUAUAUUGGGCGUCUUUGUUUUUUAUUCUUCUGGCACCUUUUCACCCAGAUAUUUCUUCUACUGUUCCUUGUUCCUCUGCAGAAUGAAUGGGGGAUGAGGGAAGUAGGAGGAGUAUUUAAGCCUUUUGCUGGGGUGUAUUUGCCUCCUCCUGGUGGCCAGGUUCUUAUUUCCCAAAAGUAAUGAAUGCAGCUGUGGACUCUUUCCAUCAGAAGAAAAGAAAAUUAUCAGGUAAGCAUAAUUUAUGUUUUCUGCUUAUUUUAGAAAUGUUGCCUAAUACAACUAUAGAUCCACAACAGUAUUGACUAUAGAGUUGAAAAAAAAAUCUCACUGUAUUGUUUACAACCUUGUUUAUUUAAAUGGUAAUAAAAAGAAAUCCAUCAGAGAGAUAGCAGGAACAUUAGGAGUGGCCAAAUCAACAAUUUGGUACAUUUUGAGAAAAAAAGAACGCACUGGUGAGCUCUGCAACACAAAAAUGCCUGGCCAGUGGUGGAUGAACGUAGGAUACUUUCCAUGGUAAAGAAAAACCCCUUCACAACAUCCAGCCAAGUGAAGAACACUCUCCAGGAGGUAGGCAUAUCAUCCUAGUCUACCAUAAAGAGAAGACUUCUCAAGAGCAAAAAUAGAAGGUUCCCCACAAGGUGCAAACCAUUCGUAUACCUCAAGAAUAGAAAGGCCAAAUUAGACUAUGCCAAAAAAUAUCUAUAAAAAAAAAAAAGCCAGCCUAGUUCUGGACAACUUUCUUUAGACAGAUGAAACUAAGAUCACCUUGUACCAGAAUGAUGGGAAGAAAAAAGUAUGGAGGAGGCUUAGAACAGCUCAUUAUCUGAAGCAUACCACUUUAUCUGUAAAACACGGCGGAUGCUGUGUGAUGGCAAGGGCAUGCAUGGCUUCCAAUGGCAAUGGGUCGCUAGUGUUUAUUGAAGUGACAGAAGCAGUCUGAUAAAUUCUAAAGUGUAAAGGGAUUUAUUGUCUGCUCAGAUUCAGCCAAAUUCAGCAAAGGUAAUUGGACGACGCUUUACUUUACAGAUCGACAAUGACUAAAAAAAAUUUAAAGCAGAGAAGUGUAAUAUUCUGCAAUGGCCGAGUCAAUCGAGCAUGCAUUUCACUUGCUGAAGACAAAACUUAUGGCAGAAAAACCUAUGAACAAACAAUAACUGAAGACAGCUGCAGUAAAUGCCUGGCAAAGCAUCACAAAGGAUGAAACCCAACGUUUGGUGAUGUCCAUUCGUUCCAGACUUCAAGCAGUCAUUGCCUGCAAAGGAUUCUCAAUGAAUUAAUAAUAAUUAACAUUGUAUUUAUGAUUUGUUAAUUUGUCCAAUUACAUUUAAGCCCCUGAAAUUAGGGGACUGUGUAUGAAAAUGGUUGCAAAUCCUAAAUGUUUAUUACAAUAUUUUUGUUCAACCCCUUAAAUUAAAGAUGAAAGUCUGCACUUCAA